GCCGAGAUGGCGGAACUGGCAGACGCGUAGUGUUGAGGGCGCUAUGGUCAAUUGACCGUGUGGGUUCAAGUCCCACUCUCGGCACCA
rnacentral:tRNA from 1 species